rnacentral:misc_RNA from 1 species
AUCGUCCCCAAAUACGAACCCUAAUAUCAACCCGACUUCAUUUCAAAAUCAGAACCCCAAUUCCAAGACCUCAACACCUCUGCCCAACCAGCCUUCACAACAGCAACAAUCUCUCUCCACUUCACAGCAAAUCACUAGGCCUUCCGCCGCAUUGUCUGGAACUUGGCAACCACCCUCGCAUUUCUCUCAUUUUUCUUCUCCUUCGCCUUCUG